CGCUAUCACUCCUACGGGGAGCAGCAGUGGGGAAUAUUGCACAAUGGGCGCAAGCCUGAUGCAGCCAUGCCGCGUGUAUGAAGAAGGCCUUCGGGUUGUAAAGUACUUUCAGCAGUGAGGAAGGCGGGUACGUUAAUAGCGUGCUCGUUUGACGUUAGCUGCAGAAGAAGCACCGGCUAACUCCGUGCCAGCAGCCGCGGUAAUACGGAGGGUGCGAGUGUUAAUCGGAAUUACUGGGCGUAAAGCGCAUGCAGGUGGUUUGUUAAGUCAGAUGUGAAAGCCCGGGGCUUAACCUCGGAAUUGCAUUUGAAACUGGCAGGCUAGAGUCUUGUAGAGGGGGGUAGGAAUUUCAGGUGUAGCGGUGAAAUGCGUAGAGAUCUGAAGGAAUACCAGUGGCGAAGGUGGCCCCCUCGGACAAAGACUGACGCUCAGAUGCGAAAGCGUGGGGAGCAAACAGGAUUAGAUACCCUGGUAG
rnacentral:rRNA from 1 species